UCCCUGGUGGUCCAGUGGUUAGGGCUCUACACUUCUGCUGCAGGGGGCCCUGGUUCAAUCCCUGGUUAGGGAA